rnacentral:rRNA from 1 species
UGGGGAAUUUUGGACAAUGGGGGCAACCCUGAUCCAGCAAUGCCGCGUGAGUGAAGAAGGCCUUCGGGUUGUAAAGCUCUUUUGUCAGGGAAGAAACGGUGAGGGCUAAUAUCCUUUGCUAAUGACGGUACCUGAAGAAUAAGCACCGGCUAACUACGUGCCAGCAGCCGCGGUAAUACGUAGGGUGCAAGCGUUAAUCGGAAUUACUGGGCGUAAAGCGUGCGCAGGCGGAUAUGUAAGUCAGAUGUGAAAUCCCCGGGCUCAACCUGGGAAUGGCAUUUGAGACUGCAUGGCUAGAGUGUGUCAGAGGGGGGUAGAAUUCCACGUGUAGCAGUGAAAUGCGUAGAGAUGUGGAGGAAUACCGAUGGCGAAGGCAGCCCCCUGGGAUAACACUGACGCUCAUGCACGAAAGCGUGGGGAGCAAACAGG